GGUGCCCCUAGAGGUGUUAAAGAUGUGUCUGCUGUGUCAUAUGUGCGUCAUUAGGUGGCAGAGAGAAGAGAGGCUUGUCUACCUCCAGUGCUGUGACCUGUAAGACACCAGGUGCUUGAGUCUGGCACU
ensembl:snoRNA